GCCGGCAUAGCUCAAUUGGCAGAGCACUCGCCUUGUAAGCGAAAGGUUAGGGGUUCGAUUCCCCUUGCCGGCU
rnacentral:tRNA from 1 species